rnacentral:misc_RNA from 1 species
UUCCUGGUUCUCCCAUCGUUCGGGGCAUUCUGGGGCUGUUUUGGCUAUUGGUUGCUUGCUUGGUCUUGAGCCGAUCAGGUGGCUUCUAGUCGGGUGGCUUCGGGGAUGUUGACCGUAAAGGUGGAUGAGUGGUGUUUGGUUUGUUACGUGUGGUUGGCUGCGGCGUUUGCAACAACUUCCAUGCUUUCAGACCUCUUCAGUUGUGCGGCAAGGCUUGUAUCGCCUUGAGCGUAUUGUGGGUUCUCUGUGUUGAAUACCUAAUCAAUGGUAUCGGUUGGAUUGAUCAAAGUUUCAUUUCGUCUUCCGUCGCAUUCGCGGCGUGAGGUGAACAUUGAUGCGGUCUCUUUGAUCCACCUCGUCGAAGCACAUGCUUCGACGUUGUGGCACAUUGAGCAUUGCUUGGUCUCUUGUAUACGGAACAUAUAGUAGGCAUGGAUCUAACGAUUCUCGUUUGCCUUCAUAUNAGCGUAUCGCUUCUCUAACACGACUUGCGCUACGUCUUAG